GCUGCCCAAGUCACGUCGGAGUUCAUUGACGGUAACUUUGUUGGCUUAAACAUCACAUUUAGGUUUAGGGUCUUCUAGGCGCGAUGCGAGACGUCACAAGCGGGCUAACGUUGAGCCAAACAGCAGCUUCGAGGCACGGGCGGAAAUGAGAAGGAGUUUGGCCCCCAGUCAGGUCGCCAAACGGAAGCAAGGGGAGGAUGAUCAUCGAGACGAAAUAUAGUAUAUUAACCACGCGGUUCUCGAGAGAAGAUGAAUGGAGAAAAUUGGGACAGUGAUGAAGAAGUCCAAGUUCCAUGGCCACUCAACAAAGCAGGAGGAAGGAAGCAGUCACAAACCAAAUACGUGGCAAGAAUUCUGAGAUUUGGUGAAGACACACGUGAACUGACGCCAUAUUUGAAAGCCGCUCAGGAUGGCAAGGAUGUACCCCUUACUGGUGAUUUGGAAUAUGGCAGAGGCUAGAGAAACAAACAGCCAAAGUCUUGGUCAUCAGACAGUGAGAGCAAGGAUGAAAGUGUUGAGGAGACUCUAUCUGACAGACAGCAGAAGAAAAAGAGGAAAGUAAGCCGUACAGCUGUGGGAUAUGAUGCUCGGGCACAAUUGAAGGCCCAACUUGCUGCUCUGGGAAGAACUUCACCGAAAGAUACAUGUACAGAAAUGGAAUCCCUGAAGAAGGAAGUCCUCCAGUUGAGAGAGGAAAACAAAUCCCUUCGAGAUGCAUUGAGGGUUGUUGAAGGACUUCCUGGCCUGCUAAUGAAGAUGGACGACUUAUCACGUCAGGCAACAAUACUAUCAGCUCGACGUCCUGCUGUCGCUCUGCCAGAGAGGAGCUGGCCAACAGCAGCUUGACAGGAAAAAAAUCCAAUGCUUUUAAGGAUAAGCAUGAGAAACCAAAACUGGAUGACAAGAAAGUGUCUGCUAUUAUUGAUUUUGUGAAGAAGCUCCAUCCCUCAAGUGAAGCAAAUGUGAUAAAGAAAAUCAUUGGAGUGAAACUGAACAUUGCGCAGAAAAUGGGAAAAAAAGAAGGCCUCAGAAACAAAUUCUGCUG